AUUGUUAUUGUUUAGAUAUCUUGAAUAUGGUGACCCAUGUCCAGGAAUGCAUGGUGAUAGUAUGAGAUAUGCUGAAUUUAUAUCAACAAACGGAAUUUACUAUCCUAACGAAUUUAUCAGAGAUACUGUUGAGCUACCCUGUUCUACAGUACAUAUUUAUGAUGACGUCAGCCUAGCCAACUUUUCUCUUCCUGAACGAGUCUUUUCAGCCUACUGGGUCAACUCAAUCAGGUCAAUU